rnacentral:rRNA from 1 species
CCUACGGGUGGCAGCAGUGAGGAAUAUUGGUCAAUGGACGCAAGUCUGAACCAGCCAUGCCGCGUGCAGGAAGACGGCUCUAUGAAUUGUAAACUGCUUUUGUACGAGGGUAAACGCAGAUACGCGUAUCUGUCUGAAAGUAUCGUACGAAUAAAGAUCGGCUAACUCCGUGCCAGCAGCCGCGGUAAUACGGAGGAUUCAAGCGUUAUCCGGAUUUAUUGGGUUUAAAGGGUGCGUAGGCGGUCGGAUAAGUUAGAGGUGAAAUCCCGAGGCUCAACUUCGGAAUUGCCUCUGAUACUGUGCGGCUAGAGAGUAGGUGCGGUAGGUGGAAUGUAUGGUGUAGCGGUGAAAUGCGUAGAGAUCAUACAGAACACCGAUUGCGAAGGCAGCUUACCAAGCUACUUCUGACGUUGAGGCACGAAAGCGUGGGGAGCAAACAGGAUUAGAUACCCGUGUAGUC